GACGAACGCUGGCGGCGUGCCUAAUACAUGCAAGUUGAGCGCUGAAGGUUGGUACUUGUACCAACUGGAUGAGCAGCGAACGGGUGAGUAACGCGUGGGGAAUCUGCCUUUGAGCGGGGGACAACAUUUGGAAACGAAUGCUAAUACCGCAUAAAAACUUUAAACACAAGUUUUAAGUUUGAAAGAUGCAAUUGCAUCACUCAAAGAUGAUCCCGCGUUGUAUUAGCUAGUUGGUGAGGUAAAGGCUCACCAAGGCGAUGAUACAUAGCCGACCUGAGAGGGUGAUCGGCCACAUUGGGACUGAGACACGGCCCAAACUCCUACGGGAGGCAGCAGUAGGGAAUCUUCGGCAAUGGACGAAAGUCUGACCGAGCAACGCCGCGUGAGUGAAGAAGGUUUUCGGAUCGUAAAACUCUGUUGGUAGAGAAGAACGUUGGUGGAAGUGGAAAGCUCAUCAAGUGACGGUAACUACCCAGAAAGGGACGGCUAACUACGUG
rnacentral:rRNA from 1 species